rnacentral:rRNA from 1 species
ACAGGAAGCAGCUUGCUGCUUUGCUGACGAGUGGCGGACGGGUGAGUAAUGUCUGGGAAACUGCCUGAUGGAGGGGGAUAACUACUGGAAACGGUAGCUAAUACCGCAUAACGUCGCAAGACCAAAGAGGGGGACCUUAGGGCCUCUUGCCAUCGGAUGUGCCCAGAUGGGAUUAGCUAGUAGGUGGGGUAAAGGCUCACCUAGGCGACGAUCCCUAGCUGGUCUGAGAGGAUGACCAGCCACACUGGAACUGAGACACGGUCCAGACUCCUACGGGAGGCAGCAGUGGGGAAUAUUGCACAAUGGGCGCAAGCCUGAUGCAGCCAUGCCGCGUGUAUGAAGAAGGCCUUCGGGUUGUAAAGUACUUUCAGCGGGGAGGAAGGGAGUAAAGUUAAUACCUUUGCUCAUUGACGUUACCCGCAGAAGAAGCACCGGCUAACUCCGUGCCAGCAGCCGCGGUAAUACGGAGGGUGCAAGCGUUAAUCGGAAUUACUGGGCGUAAAGCGCACGCAGGCGGUUUGUUAAGUCAGAUGUGAAAUCCCCGGGCUCAACCUGGGAACUGCAUCUGAUACUGGCAGGCUUGAGUCUCGUAGAGGGGGGUAGAAUUCCAGGUGUAGCGGUGAAAUGCGUAGAGAUCUGGAGGAAUACCGGU